GCAAACUUGGUCAUUUAGAGGAAGUAAAAGUCGUAACAAGGUUUCCGUAGGUGAACCUGCGGAAGGAUCAUUAUUGAGUUCGGUACCUCGAGUGCCUACUCCUAACCAUUUGUGAACUUUGUUCUGUUGCUUUGGCGGGUCGCUCGCCAGGGCCCCUGGCUCACGCUUGGGAGAGCCCGCCAAAGAUGUUUGAAACUCGACAAAACCUUUCAAAUCUGAGUGGAAACAAAAUUAAAACUUUCAACAACGGAUCUCUUGGUUCUGGCAUCGAUGAAGAACGCAGC
rnacentral:misc_RNA from 1 species